UGCGCAGGCGGGCUUGUAAGUCAGUGGUGAAAUACUGCCGCUCAACGGUAGAACUGCCAUUGAUACUGCAAGUCUUGAAUAUGGAUGAGGUAGGCGGAAUGUGUCGUGUAGCGGUGAAAUGCAUAGAUAUGACACAGAACGCCAAUUGCGAAGGCAGCUUACUAAGCCAUUAUUGACGCUGAGGCACGAAAGCGUGGGGAGCGAACAGGAUUAGAUACCCUGGUAGUCC
rnacentral:rRNA from 1 species